GACGAACGCUGGCGGCGUGCUUAACACAUGCAAGUCGAACGAAAAGGCCCUGCUUUUGUGGGGUGCUCGAGUGGCGAACGGGUGAGUAACACGUGAGUAACCUGCCCUUGACUUUGGGAUAACUUCAGGAAACUGGGGCUAAUACCGGAUAGGAGCUCCUGCUGCAUGGUGGGGGUUGGAAAGUUUCGGCGGUUGGGGAUGGACUCGCGGCUUAUCAGCUUGUUGGUGGGGUAGUGGCUUACCAAGGCUUUGACGGGUAGCCGGCCUGAGAGGGUGACCGGCAACAUUGGGACUGAGAUACGGCCCAGACUCCUACGGGAGGCAGCAGUGGGGAAUAUUGCACAAUGGGCGGAAGCCUGAUGCAGCAACGCCGCGUGCGGGAUGACGGCCUUCGGGUUGUAAACCGCUUUCGCCUGUGACGAAGCGUGAGUGACGGUAAUGGGUAAAGAAGCACCGGCUAACUACGUG
rnacentral:rRNA from 1 species